CAGCAUGGCCGCCCCGGGAGCUUUCCGGCGAGCGGAGGGUCUGUGUGCAACUGCUGAGUAAGGUGCUGGGAAUCUGCCUGGACACAUGGGCCAUCAAGACUCGACAGAUUGAGCGUAUUUCCGGGCCGCGUUCUCGUACGGUACGCUCGGCCGUGUCUCUCCUCCCCGGUCCGUCAAACAUCCGUCUUCUUCCGCUCGUUCGGAAAGUAGGUCGUCUCCGUCAUGUUGUUAUUCAAUAUGGCCGCUACCUUCUGCUCUCAUCGUGACUUCCAACUGACGAAGGACGAGGUGAAGAAAUCUCAACGUAGGACAACAAAAGUGCCCAUUUGCAAGAGCGAAGACUUUAGCCUACUACAUCCAUGGCCGCCGUAGCUGUGCGAGAAAUGGAAGGAUUUUACAGCGAAAUUUGUCACAGUGUAGGAAACCAGCCCAACUGAUGAUCAUAUUGGAUUUCGUGCGUUCUCAUCUGUAAGGUCUGAGCCCAAAGGU